rnacentral:siRNA from 1 species
GCAGUCGAGGGAUGAGCUGAUAGC